UUUGGGAGGAUGGCUCAGUCGGUAGAGCACGAGACUCUUAAUCUUGGGGUUGUGGGUUCGAGCCCCACGCUGGGCAAAA